rnacentral:rRNA from 1 species
AUUUUUCAACGACUGAUCUCUUGCCUCUCGCAUCGAUGAACAACGCAACGAAAUGCAAUAAAUGUGGUGAAUUGAAUAAUUCGAAGAAUCAUCUAAUCUUUGACACCACCUUCUCCUCCUUGGUAUUUCUUGGAGCAUGCCUGUUUGAGUAUCAA